rnacentral:rRNA from 1 species
UACGUAGGGGGCAAGCGUUGUCCGGAAUCAUUGGGCGUAAAGAGCGUGUAGGCGGCCAGAUAAGUCCGCUGUGAAAGUCGGGGGCUCAACCCUCGAAUGCCGGUGGAUACUGUCGGGCUAGAGUGCGGAAGAGGCGAGUGGAAUUCCUGGUGUAGCGGUGAAAUGCGCAGAUAUCAGGAGGAACACCGAUGGCGAAGGCAGGUCACUGGGCCGCAACUGACGCUGAGGAGCGAAAGCAUGGGGAGCGAACAGG